rnacentral:rRNA from 1 species
AACGAACGCUGGCGGCAUGCCUAACACAUGCCAGUCGAACGAGACCUUCGGGUCUAGUGGCGCACGGGUGCGUAACGCGUGGGAACCUGCCCUUAGGUUCGGAAUAACUCCCCGAAAGGGGUGCUAAUACCGGAUAAUGUCUUCGGACCAAAGAUUUAUCGCCUUUGGAUGGGCCCGCGUUGGAUUAGCUAGUUGGUAGGGUAAAAGCCUACCAAGGCGACGAUCCAUAGCUGGUCUGUGAGGAUGAUCAGCCACACUGGGACUGAGACACGGCCCAGACUCCUACGGGAGGCAGCAGUGGGGAAUAUUGGACAAUGGGCGAAAGCCUGAUCCAGCAAUGCCGCGUGAGUGAUGAAGGCCUUAGGGUUGUAAAGCUCUUUUACCCGGGAUGAUAAUGACGGUACCGGGAGAAUAAGCUCCGGCUAACUCCGUG